GGGAAAGCGGGCCCUCUUCAGGGAAUACAGGAAACUUUGGAUCUCCUCGCCUCGUUCCUGGAAUGGUCCAGACCUGGAAGAUGCCCCGGGCUAGACACAGUGAAAGUGGGAUUACUGAGUCUGAAACCCUGGAAGCCCAGAGAAUCCCUCCAUCCUGAAGCUCCUUAAGCCACGGAGCCAUCCGGGCGACAGAGUCCAUGCUGCUCUAACUACUGCCCCGCACGGCCCCUCCAGAACGCUGGCUCGCAGGGAGGGGCCCCGGCAGAGCCUGUGCUUGCAUCGCCCUGGUAGGCUUAGUUCGGCUCCGGGGCCCAGUUUGGGCAGAUUGAGGAGGUCAAGGGCAGCUUAAUUAACUGCUGCUUGAACCGAAGGCCCCAGAAGGGCCUGCCCGGGAACCAGAGGCCCAGUGCUGGAGUAUAAUGGGGGCUGUGAUGUACCCGGAGCGGAAACCAGAGCACGGCGGCCGCCGCCCGGGGCCUCGCUCCCGGAGGCUCCGCUCGGGAGACGGAAUUAAAACCGAAGCAGGAGCUCGUCAGAAUUAGAGCAAAGGGACCGGGCUGUUCUUGAGGGAUGUUUCUGUCCUGCCUAACGAGCCUCCCUUCCCCCCUCUAGGGAUGCUGCUCUGUAAAGAACAGGAAGCCGCAGAAAAGGGGGGAAGGACCGAGGACCCCGGGCCAGCGGCGCUUCUGCAAAUGCCCACUGCCCACCCGAGCCGCUCAGGAAGUGCUUCCUGUCUGCAGAGGGAGCUGGGCCCAGGCCUCGGGCCAGAGCUUCUCUCAGGGCAAAAUUAGAAAUGCCUGCUGCCGCCAGGUGCUCCGCAAAUAUGAGAUGCCCCCAUUUCACAGAGGAGGAGACUGAGGCCGUCUGAGGUGGAACAAUCCGACCAGCGCCACAUAGCCAAAGGCAAAAAAAGCAAACCGCAAACAUACAACCACCGACCAUCCUCCCGCAUGAGCCCGUGCACAAACAGGGAAAGUGAAAGGAAGAAAAGGCGGCGCCAUGGGCCCCGAGGGUCCCCAGCUCUCUCCUCGGGCAGCCCCUUUCACGGACUCCUCUAGAACUGGGUUGGGCGCUGACCGGAGGUCCCAAGUCCGGGGCCUCCCCUUGGGCCGCUCCCUCCAGUUCAUGAAAGGCCUGGCGGAGCCGGGAGCAGAGGGCAGACGUUUCUCCGGAGCCUCCGGCUUCCUCCCCGCUCGCCCACCCUGCUUCUGUGGCCGUUCCUGGCCCCGGACAGUCCCUGGGCCUUGCCCCAGCUCGGGCCUGUCCGGGCACACCGCGGGCUCCUAAGUCGUCUCCGCCGCCAUUCGGGCUC
rnacentral:lncRNA from 1 species